rnacentral:rRNA from 1 species
GAUGAACGCUAGCGGCAGGCUUAAUACAUGCAAGUCGAGGGGCAGCAUGAUUGUAGCAAUACAAUUGAUGGCGACCGGCAAACGGGUGCGGAACACGUACACAACCUCCCAAUAAGUGGGGAAUAGCCCAGAGAAAUUUGGAUUAAUACCCCGUAACAUAACGAUGUGGCAUCACAUUGUUAUUAUAGAUUUUUCGCUUAUUGAUGGGUGUGCGGCUGAUUAGAUAGUUGGUGGGGUAACGGCCCACCAAGUCUACGAUCAGUAGCUGAUGUGAGAGCAUGAUCAGCCACACGGGCACGGAGACACGGGCCCGACUCCUACGGGAGGCAGCAGUAAGGAAUAUUGGACAAUGGACGCAAGUCUGAUCCAGCCAUGCCGCGUGAAGGAUUAAGGUCCUCUGGAUUGUAAACUUCUUUUAUAAGGGACGAAAAAAGGCUUUUCUAAGUCGUCUGACGGUACCUUAUGAAUAAGCACCGGCUAACUCCGUGCCAGCAGCCGCGGUAAUAC